UGAAAAUAAACACAAAUUUAAUGUUUUCUUUCCAUUUCUGGAUUAAUGUGCACACUACAAUACUUAUUAGAACGAUUUAGAAGAACAGAUUUAAUUUGGGUUUGACCAAUCACAAAAAGUCUCAGUAAGUCUGAGCAGCUGUUAUAAAAUGAUGCACCAAGAUUCUUUAUUGUGUUCAGCUAUACUUCUCUUGGCUUUAUUAAUUUUGUGACCUUGAAUAAGUUACUAACUCUCUGAACUGGUUUCCUCAUCUUAACAUCAUGAUUUUACUUAAAUUCCACUAUCCCCUACAACCCUAUUUAAAAUCGCUACCCCAUCUCCAUUCCAGAAGCCCUCUUCUUCUUCAAUGCAUUAUUUUUCUCCAAAGUACUUAUCUCUUAUCUAACAAUAUGUACAUUUUACUUACUUGUUGUUUGUUGAGAACGUAAGUUCUAUGAAGGCAGGGAUUUUUUGUCUGUUUCAUUCACUGCUAUAUUCCCAACAGCGAACAACAUAGAGCAGGUGUUCAAUUAUAAUAGUAUUUGUUGAAAAAAUGAAUGACUAAAUCUAUUAAAUGAGGAUAGUAGUAUCUGCCACAUAGUAGCCCAGAUUGUGAGGAUUAACUGAGGUAGUGAAUAUAGUAUAUCGAGACUGGAUAUAAGAAUAAAUUAUGCCAUUAUUAUAAUUAAUAUUUUGAUGAAUAAUGAGAUGGACUUCGUUAAGUACGAUAUAAAAAGUUUCAUAUCUUAAUUAACCUAAACAAAAUAGCUCACUUUUAUUAAAUUUUAUUAAGAUUAUUGAAAGAAUCUAAGGAGCAGUGGAGAGAAAUGAAACACGGUCACACGAAAUUGUAAAAUCCUUCCCCCCAUCCCCUGAAGUAAGCUUUAUUGUUUUCAUUUGGUCUACUCCUUUUUAUUUUUAAAAUAUAUGUAACUGCUUUUCCUAUAGCGUGAUACAAAUAAAUUGCUUGAUGCUUACAUGGAUUUCUGCUAUCUGCCACCUGGAUGAGUAAAAUUCUAACAUAUUUCAGUUAUCUUUCUUCGUGCAACAGAUCUGCUUUUUUACUCUCAGUAUAUAUGGUGAUUUUCCAAGAACAAAAUCAAGGUAUGUACAUGAUUACAGUGCAUGCUAUAAAUGGCAUGAGUCCUGGUAUGCCACUCAGAUGGUCUCAUGACUAGUGUAUGACAAGUUAUGGGAGCCCCAGGUUUAUAUAUCCAAGAUGCUGGUGGUUAUUCUCAAGGAUCUGGUGUAUGGAAGCUACUGACUAUAUAUACUUUCCAAGAUGUUAUAAUUUAUUGAAUGCUUAAAAUGCAGGUACUAUAGGACAUGCAUUAUAUGUAUUUUUGCAUAAUAGUAUGCAAUACUUAUAAUAACCCUAGGUGAAUAUUCCUGUUUUAUAGUGUUGAAGAAAAUGAGGCUCAGAAUGGUUUAAGUUGCUUGCCUCAGAGUAAGUGGUGGAGCUGGAAUUCAAAUCUAGAAUUGCAUGACUAUACUGCCUCGUGUAGAAACAGUGAAUUAAGGGGUAAGGAGAGGAAACUGUGGCUGUAAAAAGUCGGGAAGGGGCUCUACAGGUAAAAUGUUCCUUUUAAACACAUUAUACCCAAUCUCUUCUUUCUAGACCCAUACUGCUUUUAGAAGUACCGUGUGUCUCCUUUUAGAAGUACGAUGUGUGUCCAAUUUAUGAUCCUUUCCAAGGUUCUGUGGCCUGGAUCAUUUGGCAUCUUAAUAUCUUCUGCUAUAAGCUUGUUUUUCGAACUUUUACUGCUCUAAUGAGGCUAUUAAGUACUCAGAACCCAUUUUCCUAGCUUCCAAAAUUUUGAAAUUUCUUUUCUCUUGUUCUUUUUCUAAAAUAUCCUAGUGGUUUAUACAUUAAAAUCUCUAAUUGUUGUUUUUACCUAUCAUUUUAUUGGAGUUUUGAGAGGAUACCAAAAUAAAUGUAUAUGUUUAAUCUGCAAGUUAAAAUCCAUGACCCAUAUUUAUCUGUAGGCAGACUGACAGAAAGCUUAUUGGCCUACUUUUUGUUAAAAAGCCAAAUCUGCUGUUUAAGAAUAGUUGGGUCUUUUACAAAAAGAUCAAGAGAGAGAAAAUUAAUUUAGUUAGGCAAAAAUAGAGGGUUUAGUGAGAAUGAUUAUGUGAUAUCUGUGUGAAAAUAAUCUGAGAACAAUUGUAAAAUAUUUCAGUUAAAUUUCAUCUUUAUUUUUUUUUCCUUUAUUUUAUUUUAUUUUUUUGGCUGCAUUGCGCAUGGCAUGUGGGAUCUAGUUUCUGGACCAGGAAUCAAACCGGCAGCCCCUGCAGUGGAAGUGGGGAGUCUUAACCACUGAAUCACCAGGGAAGUCCCAAAUUUAAUCUUUUAUUGAGCUGCUUCUACUCAACUGGCUUCAAAGAGGAAGUCAUUUUUCCCCAUGUAAUCAUGAAAAUACAAUAUAUACAUAAAAGUGGGAUUUGUUUGGAAGGAAAGGCAGUAAAGUGAAAAAAAAUCUCAAUUUUUUUGCUAUAACUUUCUGGGAUUUAGAUGUUGCCUCUUUUCUGAUAAGAAAGAAACAUGAUAUAAUCUAAUAAAGUAAUAGAUCCAGUGAUAUAGUGGAUUAUGUAACCCUAUAACCCUGCCACUAUUACUACUCAGAAAUGCUAGAUAAAAUAUAAGAAGCAAACUUUUAAAUGCAUAACUGAUAUUGGAAGAAAGUAAGAGUAAGGCCAAGUGCAGGAACCUAGGAAAGCAGUGAGAAGUUGCACUGAUGGUGCAGCUCCUCUGGAUUUGGGAAGGUGAUGAUGUUGGCCUCUGCCAUGCAGGCAGGGCUUAGGAUUUAGUGCUCACAGCGGGCUCACGUGAGGAAAGCAAUGAAACUACUCAAUUUCCAUCCUUCCUGUUAACUAGGCUCAGAGCUUUGGAGUCUUCCUUGACUCUCUCUCACCUCAUGGCCAAUCUGUCAGCAACUCUAAUUCGCUCCACCUUCAAAAUAUAUCCAGAAUCCAACCACUUCUCAUCACCUAUAUUGCAGUCAAUAUUCAUUUAGUGUUACCUACACCUUUACCACUAUCUAUAUAGUUCCUUUAGAAUUUCCUUUAGUGAUAAACUUCCAGAUAUCAUAAAGACAGCCAGCUAUCCACUGAAGACUUUGAGUUCCCCUUCCAUAAUGUAGAGUUGUUGCUGGCAAGAGACUGUCCAAUCACAGAUCACAUUUCUCAGGCCCUUCACCCCACCCCUUGCUGUGUCCUCUCUCUACCCCAUGUACCUAUGCAAAGCUAAAAGACUAAUUCCUACCAAUAGAUUGUGAGUAGAAAUGAUGGGUGUCACUUUUGGGCUGAACUGGCUCAAAGCAAAUGUGCUUCUUCCACUCCCUGUUUAACCAGCUGCCACCUGAAAUUGAAAGAUUCUGAGGGGCCAUAGGCAAUGACAGAGUCACAAAAUGGAAAAAACUUGGGUUUCUGGAUUACCCUGUGGAAGUCUGCUCACUGAAAGCCUGCCUUAUACUGUUAUACAACCGAGAAAUUAACCUCUGUUGAGUUAAAACACUGAAAACUUGAGAUUAUACAAACUGAUGUGACAUCUUUUUCCUGCUAUAAAAACAAUGUAGAGGAUUGCUUUGUUUAAAUUGCAGGUGCUACCUUGAUUCUUUGGUAUUGGUAUUUCUGAAGACUUGAGGGGACUUGCAGAUGUUCACCUCUGGCAGACAAGGAAGGAUAGGAGUCACUGAUAUUCUCUAAGUAAGUGCUUUUCAUUUUCCCCUCCUGCUCUUACCCUCAAAAUCCAUUCAAUGAUAACAAAACAAUCCCAACUAAAUGUCAUGAGACUAUCUUCCAAACCCUAUAGGGUUGUUAUAUGAUAUUUCAAAGCUUUAAGAAGGAAUUCUGACAAUUGUUUGUACUUAAUGUUGUAUCACCCGAAAAGCAGUGGUAAAAAUCAUGCAGUCUGGUUUUGGAAAGUUGGAAAAGUUGGAUGUUUUUCCAUAAUGGCAGAGAGGGGAAAAAAAAUUAGAGUAUAGUCAGUUAAAUGGCUAACAGUGUUUAUCAUGUAGAUGCUAACAAUUGUCUAGGCAUAAAUGUAGAGUGAAUUACAAUAUUAGGCCUUAUAAUCCUUGAUUCUAUAUAUGGUUACAGUUUGAGUUGUGUUAAAACAAGUUGGUACACUAAACAAAUGAAAUAUAUGCAUAAUGUGACUGGAGAAUAACUAUUAAUAACUAUAGUACAGCUGACCGAUUUUUCCAUUAAUAUUUUUUGUUAAAAUAUUUUUCCUAAAUUAUAUAUUUGUGAAUAAAAUUGAAGAUUAGUAUUAUUAACUUUUUAAAAUAAGAAAAAAACAUACUAUUUGGAUCAUAAAAUUACCAGAAUAAUGGUUUAGCCCUAGUCUGUCUCUGAGACUGCCUUUCACAGUCUUAUUCUAGUUGGAAGUUAGACACUGGGUGAUAGUCAGCAGUAGAUGAUAUCUAUUGAGAAGGUUAACUAGGCUUUAAGAAAUUUAUAAAAUCUCAUGUAUCUGUAUAAGUACAUACACAUAAGUACUCUAUCAUAUUUCAUAUUUGUUGGCAACUUUCAGGUAAAACGUUCUCUAAAAGUAGUAUAUCUUGAUUAAAAAAAUUUUUUUUCAUUUAACUCAUAAUUGAUUCAUAUUUUCUGCCAGAAGUGUCUUAUCUAUAAUUAUUUGAAAAUUAAAUACAUAUGCUAUUGAGAAGGUAUAUUAAAUAUUAGUAAAGCUUAAUUUUUCUUAUUUUUAAAGAACAAAAUAAAUAUGAGAGAUUCCAAAGAUGAUCUGGGUUAAUCAUCUUUGUAGAUCUUGCUUAAGAGUUAGGGGAAUUGUAGAAGCAGAAGACAGAUGAGGGAUGAAGGUAAGAAAUCUCUGAAGGUCACUAAUGGCUCUGCUAUAUAGACAGAUCUGCUUUUGGUUAGGGACAUUAUUACCAAUAAACUAUAAAACAGACCUCAUAAUUUCAAUAACUGAAAAAGUCAAAGCAGUAAAAGAAAUUACUUACA